GAUGAAGAACGCAGCGAAAAGCGAUACGUAAUGUGAAUUGCAGAAUUCAGUGAAUCAUCGAGUCUUUGAACGCACAUUGCGCCCCCUGGUAUUCCGGGGGGCAUGCCUGUCCGAGCGUCAUUGCUGCCCUCAAGCACGGCUUGUGUGUUGGGCCUCCGUCCUCCUCCCGGGGGACGGGCCCGAAAGGCAGCGGCGGCACCGCGUCCGGUCCUCGAGCGUAUGGGGCUUCGUCACCCGCUCUUGUAGGCCCGGCCGGCGCUUGCCGACACAUCAAUCUUUUUUCCAGGUUGACCUCGGAUCAGGUAGGGAUACCCGCUGAACUUAAGCAUAUCAAUAAGCGGAGGA
rnacentral:misc_RNA from 1 species